UGGGGAAUAUUGCACAAUGGGCGCAAGCCUGAUGCAGCCAUGCCGCGUGUAUGAAGAAGGCCUUCGGGUUGUAAAGUACUUUCAGCGGGGAGGAAGGGAGUAAAGUUAAUACCUUUGCGCAUUGACGUUACCCGCAGAAGAAGCACCGGCUAACUCCGUGCCAGCAGCCGCGGUAAUACGGAGGGUGCAAGCGUUAAUCGGAAUUACUGGGCGUAAAGCGCACGCAGGCGGUUUGUUAAGGCAGAUGUGAAAUCCCCGGGCUCAACCUGGGAACUGCCUCUGAUACUGGCAAGCUUGAGUCUCGUAGAGGGGGGUAGAAUUCCAGGUGUAGCGUUGAAAUGCGUAAAGAUCUGGAGGAAUCCCGGUGGCGAAGGCGGCCCCCUGGACAAAGACUGACUCUCAGGUGCGAAAGCGUGGGGAGCAAACGGG
rnacentral:rRNA from 1 species